UGAAACAAAUUUGGGAAGGAGAAUCUCUGUUAGUUAGUGAUAAAAAAAUAAAUAAAAAUCUCUUUUAGUUUCUCUCCUGAGUUGUGUAGAGAAAAUUCAAGAGACCCAAGAGUUAUGAACCAAACCAGAGAAAUAAGAAAGAAAGAUAGAUCUAUUCUUUCCUUAAUUUUUUUUUUGGGGGUUUUUCACUCGAUUUCAAAUCUAAUGCGAAUUUCUUAUUUCUAAAAAACUUCUGAUACUCUUUAAAAUCUGAAAUUGAAUGAGAUAAGAUGAUUCACAAAGCCAAUAUUUGGAAAUCAAGUUGGUGGCAAUGGACAGAAAACUAGCUAGGGUUUAAUUUGCAGCUUUUGGUAUGGUGAGCAGUAUCAACUGAGAUUCGAAAGAAAUGAAUGAAAGGAAGAAAUCGAUCAAUGAUGUUGAUUAAGAUCAAUAUAUCAUUGAUACCUCUUUUCAGGAUUAUAAACAGCCGAAAGGUUCUGGGACAUCAGAACUUGGUGAUGGGAUGUGUCGACCAGUUAGUCUGCAUGUUUAAGGUGAACUCUUGCAUAUGACAUUUUCUGUUCUACUGUUAGGUUAAAUUAUUUGCACCCAUUUUCAAUUAAAAUGAGUUAUUUCAAAGAAAUUCAUAGUUCUUAUUGCCGAAGUUUGAAUACUCUUUAGUGGUUAUAUAUACUUUGUUAUAUAUGUUCAUGAAAACCCAUAUUUUAGAGAUUUACCAUGUAAUUCUAUUUUAGAAUGUGAUUCAUAUGGGAAGAUCAUUAAGGCCCUCAAAACAAUGUAUUUCAAUUGACGGAAUUGAAAAAUUAAAAUACUCAACAGAAUUUUUGAUGUCCUUUUAUAGUUAGAUAUAUAGAGUCAUCUGAGGUUAGGAUAGUCUUAAAUUCUUGCUCACUUAGUAGUUUAGCCCUAUAGAGAUAAAACACUUGAUGCGUCCAUUGAAAACACGAAGCAGGUUCCAAUCACCACACCAGUGUACUGAUAUAUAGAAUCACCCGGGCAACAAUCAGGUGUAUAUAUAUCUUACCUCUACUUGCUUAUAAAUGAAGAUGCAUCAUGGGACCAAUUUGAUGACAUAUUGUAGAUAGUUGGGGUUGCUGGAUAUAGCGGGUUUCUUUUACUAAAUGUAGGAAUUGUAUGUUUAAAAUUGUUGUGUGUAAUCCCACUACAGUCUAGACUCUACACUACUUCUGUUAUUUUAUUUCUGAUUUGUAUUUCCAUAGGUUUCAGUAAAUUUUUCAGUAAAGGAAUCAACACUUUGUGUGUUUUCAGACCUAAUAUAAUUUUCUUAUUUAUUUUUUUGGGUAAAGAUCAAAAGAACCCUCUUUUGUGGUUUCUCAUUUAAUUUUUAGGUCUGUAGUUCAGUAAUUUGUGCCUCUUUCCAUUCCAUGAAUCCGCUUAUAAAUGUUAAUCUUUACUAUGUGUUGUUCCAUGUUAAUUGGAAAUGAGUAGAUUGAUCUAUUUGAAAUUGUAAAGUUAAAUACAAGUGAUUUUUCCGAGUGAACAAUUAACCAUUCUGAAUUGUUACUAUGCUCAAUUGAUCAUUUCGAUGUCUUUCAGUUGUUGAUAUGUUACUCAAUCCGUAUCGUUCUUACCAUCCUCUGGGUUAGUGUUUGAUAGUCAAGAAAUUUGAUGUCAGAGUAGAUAUGGGGGAAAGAUGAAGUGCUUCAGCAUAAAGACGAGGCCGCUUAAAAAGAAACGAAUCAGUGUGAGGCUAAGACAAUCAUUUGAUAAAAAUUCUAUUAUGGUUUUCAUAAAAUUGUGCUAAGGAAAUGUAAUGGGCGUGGGCUGAAUUAGACUUUGUGCUCAGUGUCAGAUCUUCUGAGGAGGGUAUCUCUCUUCCUUCCGCAGUAUUUGAGACAAUUUUGAUAGAUGGUGUCAGACUCGGCAUGCUAAAAAUUCAAAUAUUGUGAAAUGGUCCAUGGACUGAUACCUCAAGUAUAACUAUAUACAUAUUUCCGCGGAGAAACUUUAUUCGGUAUCCUGCAGUUAAUAAGCCAGCAGGGAUCGUACACUGGCUUAAGCAUAGUAAAUAUGCACAGAAUGUGGAUUGGAUUGGAAUUGUCCGAUAGUUCCCUGGGAACUUGGUGCAGAGCUGGGAAAACCUGUUGCGCAUUUAACAUCGACUAGCUUAGCCAUUCAGAUGACAAGACCAUAGAAGUACCUCACAUGGGAGUAGAAUGGAUACUUAUAUACAUCAAAGAGUUGAAGACCAGAUUAGGUCGCUCGGGCAUGAGUUGUGACAGUGCCAUUACAUUCCUUUGUAGGUGUGAUGGUGUUUUAAAACACCGCAAAUUUGUAGAAAUCAUUUCGAAUUAGUUUUUACCAGAACAACGGUUUUAUUUUUAUUUUUAGAGAUCGUAACUACAAUUGUUUCUCAAAUAGUAAAUUCAAGAUUAUUCAUCA